rnacentral:rRNA from 1 species
CUACGGGAGGCAGCAGUGGGGAAUAUUGGACAAUGGGCGCAAGCCUGAUCCAGCCAUGCCGCGUGAGUGAUGAAGGCCUUAGGGUUGUAAAGCUCUUUCGACGGGGAAGAUAAUGACGGUACCCGUAGAAGAAGCCCCGGCUAACUUCGUGCCAGCAGCCGCGGUAAUACGAAGGGGGCUAGCGUUGUUCGGAAUCACUGGGCGUAAAGAGUACGUAGGCGGAUUGUUAAGUCAGGGGUGAAAUCCCGAGGCUCAACCUCGGAACUGCCUUUGAUACUGGCAAUCUUGAGUCCGGGAGAGGUGAGUGGAACUCCUAGUGUAGAGGUGAAAUUCGUAGAUAUUAGGAAGAACACCAGUGGCGAAGGCGGCUCACUGGCCCGAAACUGACGCUGAGGUACGAAAGCGUGGGGAGCAAACAGGAUUAGAAACCCUGGUAGUCC